rnacentral:rRNA from 1 species
UACGGGGUGGGCAAGCGUUGUUCGGAAUUACUGGGCGUAAAGGGCGCGUAGGCGGCCUGCUAAGUCGGACGUGAAAUCCCCCGGCUCAACCGGGGAACUGCGUCCGAUACUGGUGGGCUCGAAUCCGGGAGAGGGAUGUGGAAUUCCAGGUGUAGCGGUGAAAUGCGUAGAUAUCUGGAGGAACACCGGUGGCGAAGGCGGCAUCCUGGACCGGUAUUGACGCUGAGGCGCGAAAGCCAGGGGAGCAAACGGG